rnacentral:rRNA from 1 species
UACACAUGCAGUCGAGCGGUAGCACAGAGAGCUUGCUCUCGGGUGACGAGCGGCGGACGGGUGAGUAAUGUCUGGGAAACUGCCUGAUGGAGGGGGAUAACUACUGGAAACGGUAGCUAAUACCGCAUAACGUCGCAAGACCAAAGUGGGGGACCUUCGGGCCUCAUGCCAUCAGAUGUGCCCAGAUGGGAUUAGCUAGUAGGUGGGGUAACGGCUCACCUAGGCGACGAUCCCUAGCUGGUCUGAGAGGAUGACCAGCCACACUGGAACUGAGACACGGUCCAGACUCCUACGGGAGGCAGCAGUGGGGAAUAUUGCACAAUGGGCGCAAGCCUGAUGCAGCCAUGCCGCGUGUGUGAAGAAGGCCUUCGGGUUGUAAAGCACUUUCAGCGGGGAGGAAGGCGAUAAGGUUAAUAACCUUGUCGAUUGACGUUACCCGCAGAAGAAGCACCGGCUAACUCCGUGCCAGCAGCCGCGGUAAUACGGAGGGUGCAAGCGUUAAUCGGAAUUACUGGGCGUAAAGCGCACGCAGGCGGUCUGUCAAGUCGGAUGUGAAAUCCCC